AGGAUUUGAGCGUCUGACUGUGGACACAGAGCUCAAUAAACUAACAGUAUCUGGCACUAUGGACCCGGUCAAGGUGGUGAACAAACUGACGAAACUGCACGCAGAAAUGGUGAGCUUCGGAGCAGCCAAGGAAGACGAUGGCAAGAAAGAAGGGGGAAAGAAGAACGAAGAUCAAGUCACCAGUCAGGUAAAAGCCUCUCAAGCAUACUAUCCUGGACAGGCCAGUGCUCUUCGGCUCCUUGAUCUCCUUUUUUCACUCCUACACUUCGAACCUACCCGAUGAUCAUUCUCCAAUCAAUCCUAAAUGUGCAAAAAAGAUUGACUAUUCCCGAAGAUAAAUUUGGAAUCUCCGUUGAUUUUGUCGCCUAUACAAACGGAUCUCCAGUUUCCAGAAGUAGCGUUCUUCGGUUUAAGGAAAGUAGCUUGUGUUCAUAACGAUUAUCAAUCAGAAGCUUUCUUGCAAAACUGUCCUUAAGAUUGGCAAUUUAAUCAUCACUUUCUAUAUUUC
rnacentral:lncRNA from 1 species